GGGUCUCUUACUCAUUCAGAUUAUUUAUUAAGAGCAAAAGUCGGGCCAUCCCAUCGUGUGAUAUUGCAACAUGAAAAGUCACAUACAUACUAAGGAGACCCCACAGAAUUGAGAGCCUUUCAACAGUACAGAGCCAUAGAUUACGAAGUUAAAAUACAAAUGAUCCCCCAGAUUUGGCAGGAAACAAGUACAAUAUGAGGAGGCCUGGAAUGGAAGGGCACUUACUUUUCAAUAAGGCAGUUACAAAAUGGGAAAAAAAACCCCCAAAACCUUGUACCCCAAAAUAUACUCUGAUGAGCGUAGCAGACAAUAGAAAUGUAAAAGAAGGAUCCUGUAUAACCCUCUGUCAUUGGCAAAUGUGUGCAUUAAGUGAAAGCAACUGAAGGGUUUGUGUUUUAAGAUGCAAGCUAGAUGAAACAACUGACUGUAGACAUUUCUACCUCAAGAACAGUUCAUAUCUUGCCCUAGGCUGGGUUCUACCUCAAAACACCAGACCCACUUUACCAUUUCUAACCAUAAACUUGGAAACAGUCUAUAAUACAAUGAAAGGAAUAAAAAGGCACCCCUAGAGCACCAUGCUUCCCAAGGCAUGAUCUUGAGCUCAUCUGCCCUUCGGUUCGACUGCCCAGCUCAGUAACAGGGACCAGGAGCCAGGGCCAGCUGAAUUACACAACCUCAAAGGAUCGCCUGGAAGGCAGAUAUCUGACCAAGAGAUCACAGACCAAGCACAUUUCAUGAGAAUUUAAAUGCUAGGACAAUACUACCUCUCCCAAUAGGGCUUUUGAACCCUGGUUUUAAAUAACAGGCUAGAUCUGUUUUCCCUUACCACUCAUUUUGCAAAACUCAACUGGCCUAAACAUUUCGCUCAAUCUUGAGUUCUGCAGGUUGGUCCCUGAGAGCUAGGUUGGCCUUGGGAAUUUCUGCUCAAUUUUAAGUUCUCAAGAAUCUGAGGGCAGCCGAUUUAGACUGAAUUAGAGUCAUCCUAUAGGUCAGAAAGAAAGAAUGCUAGACAGGUCAAGAGGGCCAGAGGUUGGUUCUGAUAAUGCCAUAUGACCUCAGGCACAUCUUUUUGAGUUUUAGUUUCCCCAUCUCUAAAAACGGAUGAUUGGACAACAGCAAGCUUAACAGACUUUCCACCUUGAAAAUACGGCACUUCUCUGACGCUUAGACCUUAAGUCCUGAAGCGUUGUUUUCUCAGCAAAAACAGUGCAAAGUCCUUACAGGAAUCUAAGGUACAAGCCCUGGGCAACCAUGAAAACUUUAAACUUCAUGCAAAGCAACGAAGUUAUAAAUCCUCCAGCUGAACAAUUUCCUGAUGAUGUGAGCAUCCGUUUUUGUGGGGCAAGCACAGAACUGAGUCCUCAUCUGUCUGAGGUUUAGCAGGCUGCUAACAUCUUCUCAUCCCCCUCUCCUCUCCCCAAGCUUUGGCAGAAACAAGCCAGCCAGUAGGGUUUUCUCAACAUUCUCCAACAAGGAACUGAGUGGACUAAUACUCAGGGGUAAGGACAGUGUACCAAAGUGUCCAUGUCCUAGCAUUGUUUCUUUCCAAAAGGCAAACGCUAUGCUUUGGGACAGUGCCAGCAAUUAGGUGCUUUGCCAAAAAUAACUUGUCCCAUGUGGCCCCCAUGGGGCAGAGACUAAGAUGGAAAUUACAGAGAACAUAGAAAAGCCAGAGGUUUACAAAGAACAGGCUUCUCCACGAGGUAGUGGGUUCUCUGUCCUCGGAGGUGUUUAAGUCCAGACUGCUCAACCCCUUGGUGGGAUGGUUGUAGGCAGAAUGUCAGCACCUAUGUGGAGACUAGACUGGAUGACUUAACAGCCCUUUCCCAACUUUGAGAUCCUGUCAUUGUAAUGACUGAGAGCGCCUUUGGAUGACUUCCAUGAAGCAACUGCUCUGGGCAACAGCCUCCCUCAAUAGGCAAGGAGUCCCUUGCCCACAGAUAGAGCCACCAGAAACUGCAGAAGAGGCUAAGGCGAGUGGUUUAGUGGUUUGAUGAAAGAACAGAUUUCUGGACAUAAGAAAAACAUAGGUUCAAAUAGCUUUGUCUUUUCUCUCACCUGACCUGUUGAAAGGUCAGAUUGAAAAGGUUGAAAAGAUGCCCACAACCUCCACUUUCCACAAGCACCUCUCCUUAGAGGAAAGACAAGGGACCCAAGUACACACACAGCAUCUGGCUGAAGGUAAAACAUUUCCCCAGGUUUCGCUUUGGAAUAAAGAUUCUUUCAGACACAAUUGAACAGAUGGAUCCUACCAUCAUAUAUUCUUGUGCAGAAGCUAUUGUCUCUCUCAACUGGGAAAACAGAUUUGCUGCUAAAGAAAUAGUGAUGUGACCUACACGCCCACAAUUCUGGUUUACGUAUCAGAAAAAUACACUUUUUUACUCAUUAAGAUAUGGACAUUUCCAUGGAGCAAGUUAACAAUGCCUUAACCUGCAGGCCCCAUCUGCCCCUCAGCCUUCUUGAUGCCUGUAUCAACAUCCUUCAGCUGUAAGCAGGGAGAGAAUCUCUAAACACAUAGUGAAUGUGAAUGACUGAAAACACUCACAGAGCACUGGACAUGCCAUCCACAGCCAGGAGGCAUACCAAAAUAGGAUGCCCUCACAGUCCAGAGUAUAUUCUAUAUACAACCAUUUAUAUAUAUUUAAUUUAAAAGGCUGCAAUCUGCUAGACAUGCAUUUUGAACACAGGCGAAAGCUUUGCUGCAAUGGAACAUACUGCAUUUUAGUGAGCGUGGUGACCCUGUCCCCAUUCCACAGAAAGCGUGGUACUCUGCUCCACAGAACUGAGACCUUUGGACACUCCGCCGCCCUGCUCAGUAGGGGGUUUAGUCCUGACUUCUCUGUGAUGGUGCUCAGAUUAAGUCAUCUGUGAAACUCUCUGCCAGGCCAGGCUGUCCAUUGUUCUUAUUAUUUAAGGCUUAAGAAAUUAACUCAGAAUUGAAACUGAGUAGGAAAAUGACACCUUUGACCAUAUGUCAAGAUGGUCAUAAAUUAGAAUCCAAAUUCUUUUCUUUUCUUUCUCCCACCCUCCUACCCCAUACCCUCUGCCCUCCAUUACACAGAUUAAAGAAUUUUGCAAAAGCACAUUUUUGGAUAUAAAGCUUUGUUUUCACAGGAUACUUUGGCUCUGAUAUAAUUAGAUUGAGGAGUUCAACGUUUUGAACAACAAAAAAAUUAGGUAAUUUUCAAAAAUUAUUUUAGCAAUCUUUCUCCCUAAGAGGGAGGCAAAUUGUUCACAAAAAUGAGCAUCAGAUGGAAUUGACCUUUGUUGCCCAAACUCAUGAUUUGCUGAUGACCAGAGCCCAGGGAGUCAAGGCCAGCCAGACUUUCAAUCCUAAGCUGAACUUCUGGGCAGGAAUCACAUGGCCCCUGGCAGCUUGCAUGGUGGUUGUGAACUUAGGAUGAAAACUUCUAAAAAUACUUGCCCCAACCUACUAAAUAUGUCAGUGUGUCAAUGCAUUUAUUACCAAGAAGCUUGGCUGAAGUCAUAAUAUCUAACUGCACCCCAAAGAGUGAAGCAUAGUGGGGUGCAUAAGGGACCGUAUCUUCUGUGAGGGUCUCUAUAUCAGUGUUUCUGGAACCUCAACGAAUAGUUUUGCACAUGCAACUGUCCUGAAAUCCUUAUCUGAUCAGAAACUUCCUUGUUGGUGCAUCAGGAUUUCCUCCACAUUCUAGCAGUUAAGUGGUGAGCAACAGAAAUGGCAGAGGUCUCAGUCAUGAGAGGUGUGAAGCGGAUGUUACAAGGCUGGCACUAUUAGUGACAGCUCAAUUAGCCAAUACCUACUGAUUGAGUGCCUACUGUGUACAAGGCACAGGGUGAGUGAGGGGGACCAGUGUCAAACUGAUCUGCUGAUAAAUGACAAAGCUUGCAACAAAGCGGGCGGGAUAUCUAUGUCGCCAGCGGGCAGCAUGCAAGUCCAGAUGUGGGUCUGCUCAUGCACUUCCAUGGCCAAUUGCACCUUGCUGCUAUUCCAAGCUACAGCUCACACGUGGCAGCCUGGUGGAUAAGGUGAUUACCAAAAUAUUUCUUAUCCCACAUUUCCAGUAGAAUUGAUUUAAUGCUUUGUUGAAUGCUGAAAUACAUAGUUUUUAAUU
rnacentral:lncRNA from 1 species